UCUUGGCCUUAAAUUAAUGUAUAGCACAUUUACCAGAGUACUAUGAAUAAAAUAAAAUUUAAAACUCAAAGGGCUUGGCGGUGUUUUAGACCCUUCAGGGGAACCUGUCUCAUAAUCGAUAAUCCACGAUAGACCUGACCUUUUUUUGUUUUCAGCUUGUAUACCGUUGUCGUCAGGUAACUUUUUAGAAAUUAGAAGUUAGCUAUAAGCUCUGUAUACUAAAACGUCAAAUCAAGGUGCAGCCCAUAAGAAGGAGAGGAUGGGUUACAAUUAUAGAUUUAUAAUACGGAAAGCAUUAGGAAUUAAAUGCUUUGAAGGAGGACUUGAAAGUAAAAUAGAUUAUAUAAAUAUUUUGAAUAAGGCUCUGAAACGUGC
rnacentral:rRNA from 1 species